GACGAACGCUGGCGGCGUGCUUAACACAUGCAAGUCGAACGGAAAGGCCCUGCUUUUGUGGUGUGCUCGAGUGGCGAACGGGUGAGUAACACGUGAGUAACCUGCCCUUGACUGUGGGAUAACUUCAGGAAACUGGGGCUAAUACCCGUUAGGAGCUCCUGCUGCAUGGGGGGGGUUGGAAAGUUUAGGCGGUUGGGGAUGGACUCGCGGCUUAUCAGCUUGUUGGUGGGGUAGUGGUUUACCAAGGCUUUGACGGAUAUCCGGCCUGAGGAGGUGACCGGCCCCAUUGGGACUGCGAUAGGGACCAGACUGCUAUGGGAGGCAGCAGUGGGGAAUCUUGCACAACGGGCCGAAGCCUGAUGAAGAAACGCCGCGUGCGGGAUGCCGGCCUUCGGGUUGUAAACCGCUUUCGCCUGUGACGAAGCGUGAGUGACGGUACUGGGUAAAGAAGCACCGGCUAACUACGUG
rnacentral:rRNA from 1 species